AUUAUAAUUCAAUACUCACGUCAUCGACAGGAUCCACAGGAACACCCAGGGAUAGUAAAUGCGUAACAAGAUCAUCGUGUCCUCCCAAAGCAGCCCAGUGUAUCAACAUUCGUCCAUUCUAGAUUAAAACAGUCACGACGGUUUUCAACUAUUCCACUGUCAAGGAAGUCCCGGACGCCUCGAAGGAGAACGACGACGACAACACUUUUCACGUGGAAGUAUCGACUGGGAACUUUUCGUUUCCCGUAUAGAUUUCUGCUUAGCGGUGGAAAACUUGUACCCGUAAAAAUAACAAUAAUUCUAUUCGUCCCGCCGGAGUCAACAAUGGCCGACGGCAGGAGCGCGUAGAGGGUUAGGUUUGCACGCUCAAACGUUCUCGCAAACUAGUCAAACUCAUGUUAAGGAGCUGCCGUGUUAUUUGACACAAGAUGAAGGGAAUGGCAUACACGUUAAGAUUAAAUGGCCGCUUGCUCUGGUAUUGUAGACGUACGUAUUCGAAAUCGACUCGCCGACUGUUACAUAAACGGAACUGCGGCUGAUUUAGCAUUAAUGGUGUCUGUAUGUGGUACAGACGUGCCAAACUGAAACAGUGGCAGCUGGGUGAAUUCGAGAGAGGCGAAAUUGUCAGUGGGUGGAUUCUCUGUUGGAGACGUCCGACGUCAUAGGCAAGCCUGAGUCCUGUAAUUAACAGAAUCACUCUACUCUCUCACUCUUUCUCUCUCCCAAUAUUAGCUUUGCCUUGUCUAACGGUUUGGCACAUGGAUUCAAAAUACUGAUUGUCAGUGAAAUUUCAUAUCGUCCAUUACUAAUAUCCAUUAUACAGUGAUAGGAAGGGUGAAAUGUACGGGGGAGUAGGAGAGGAUGAUUGAAUUCUCAGUAAGCUAACAAGAGACAGACAGCGCAACAGAAAUUCCUGGAGAACAAUCAAUAAUCGCUAACAAGAGACAGACAGUGCAACAGAAAUUCCUGGAGAACAAUCAAUAAUCGAUAAAAGGUCGUAAAUGAAUGGGAAUUCAAUGGGAGGAUAAUAAAAGUCCAAUUGAGGUUACAUUCUAAAUGUCUUCUUUCAUGUCUGUACUAUUUAAAAAUAAACUGAGUGAAAUAUUAAUCGAAUCCUGGAUUACCGUGUCACGUGCUGGUCGAAGGAAGAAGAAUCCAUUAAUGAAAAUGUAAAUGUCAAAAGUCAAGAUACUACCACAAAGAAAAGAGCUACAGAGAUCAGCGAAAUAGACGAGUUUCCAAUGGCGCUACUGAUUGAGGACGAGUUUCUACCCAAGUUAAGCAAGGGAUCAGAAGCGGAAGAGCCAGAGAAUAUUACAAGGGCAAAUGGGAAUCUCGUAGCCGGAUUUAAAUAUUUGGUUACCAUUUGAAAUGGAAUAAUGAAAAAGCCGGGUAAAGGACCUGCAGGACCCAGAAACGAAAAAAGACAAAAAAGUCAUAGGGCCAAGAAAAGUACAAAGAAAGGAACAAUGGAUAAAAGAAAAAGGCGAUUGGUUGUCCUAUGGGAUAAGCUGGUAGGCAAGGUGGUGGCAAUUUUAAUUUAAUAUGACCCCGACCAGAGCCGUAUGAAUUUACAACGAUAAGACCAGGGAGCUUUCCGGCGCAUAGGAUAAUAAAUAUGGCGCGUAGGGCCGUGACGUAAUCCUACGGAAGGAUGCGAGUCAGAUAUUGGCCAUGUAAUCCGGGUUUUAUGUGAGGAUCGGGAUGUGCUCAUCCUAUACGAUACAACCACGUCCGACUCCGAGAGUUUGAGGAAGGAUUCAAGCCCGGCUGCUUCCAUGUUGCUGGAAAGUCAUAAACCGACGGAUUAAUAAUAAGGACGAGCCAUCUGAGUAUCCCUUUGCAUAUAACGUAUAAUAAGGUUUCUCUUGAUAUUGGCUCUACCAUAGACCGCAUAAUUGUUAUAUAGCACUAAACUCAUUUUCCGUAACAAUUCAUUAAAUCUAACAAUGGUCCAAAUACUAGUAUGUGUUAAAAGUUUUUCCUAAUGCACAACAGACUUCAAAUAUUAACAUAAUGAAUUGGAUCAAAGUUUCGAGUAGUACCCACAUAUUAAAAAUGGUAUAUGAAGGAUAACAUUAUGGAUAAUUAGAAACUAAAUUUAAAAUUAAAUAUGCACAUGACUUUUUAAAAAUAAUUUUCACCAUUGAAGCUUAUUCUUAUUCAAAUGACAAUAAUCAAAUGAAUCUUGAAAACUU